CCUGGCCAUAAGGAUGAUUCAGGAUGAAACUGCGAAGCAGAGCAAAACCUUUUUUCUGCCUCCUUCAACUCAGUGGACUGAGCUCCUCUGUGGAUUUCACUCCAGGGAGCCGUGGAAGAGCUGGCCUGUUCUCAUGGAGCAACCUGCAGGAAGACAUAACAAAGACUAACAGAACUCUGAAGUAGAUGACCUGCAGCCACAUUAAUAAUUGAUCAUGUUAGCAGUUGAUGAGUUGUGCUAAAUUGAUCUGUGGCGAGAUAAUGUGAAUUAAAAGCUGCUUAAAUAUUUAGUUUUGGGCUCUUUCUAAAUGGCAGGAAUUUGAACUAAAGGCUACACAGGAGUCAUGACUGGAAUCAACUUUUCAAUGCAGAUGGAUGCCAUUAGAAAGGUUUUUACUUCGAAUGUGUGCGGCUUGUCCACAUGGCUGAGAUUAGUGCUCAAUGCUCAUAUAAUGCUUUUCAUCCUCCAAAGGACUUUACAAGCUCCAGCCCUCAAAACACCCCCACAAGAAUACUUAGAUAUUCCAUCUUAUCACCCUCUUGUUUCCCUGGGAAAGGUAUCUGGCCCCACAAAGUACUCUGGAGAAAAGGGAAAAGCGACUCAUUUUCUGGUUUUAUGACUACUCUACGGUGUUUCAGUUACUGGAUGGUUUCUUCCUGGAAGAAUAGAUGGAAGACAAAUCGAUGGAGUCUGGUAUCACUAAUUUAAGGAGAAGCUGGGGCAGAUUGUGACAUCUGGAGCACACCUUCCCAGUGGGGGUACCAGGAUAGAAGACCUCCCAUCACCACUUUUGCUCCUGAGGGAUGAGGGGCAGACCUGCACCGUGGUCACAAGCACAGAGGAAAUUUGUGUAGAUGUUCCAGAGCUUCAGGAACGCAUGCUUGACCUUCAAGAGUUGCUGCUGGUUUGUUCAGUGCUCACACAGUGUGCAGCACAGGCCUCCUGGGUGCUGCUGCAGUGCAGCCACCUUUCCUUUUGUUUGGGCACCUUUAUCAGUACAGCUGAAGGGAACACUCUGUGGACUGUGAAUUCCUCUCCAAGAUCAUGUAAAUACUUGGACAGUACAUGCUGUUUCUCUAGUAUUAAUCUAACCAGCUAAAGCUAGUUUGCAUACAUCUGCAGAAGUUUAAUGAUAAAUAUU